rnacentral:rRNA from 1 species
GGAUAUGAUCAUACCAGCACUAAAGCACCGGAUCCCAUCAGAACUCCGAAGUUAAGCGUGCUUGGGCGAGAGUAGUACUAGGAUGGGUGACCUCCUGGGAAGUCCUCGUGUUGCAUUCC